AAUAGAUACCCUGGUAGUCCACGCUGUAAACGAUGGAUACUAGGUGUAGGAGGUAUCGACCCCUUCUGUGCCGGAGUUAACACAAUAAGUAUCCCACCUGGGGAGUACGGCCGCAAGGUUGAAGCUCAAAGGAAUUGACGGGGGCCCGCACAAGCAGUGGAGUAUGUGGUUUAAUUCGAAGCAACGCGAAGAACCUUACCAGGGCUUGACAUCCCUUGACGAUGGUAGAGAUAUCAUUUCCCUUCGGGGCAAGGAGACAGGUGGUGCAUGGUUGUCGUCAGCUCGUGUCGUGAGAUGUUGGGUUAAGUCCCGCAACGAGCGCAACCCCUGUUGUUAGUUGCCAUCAUUAAGUUGGGCACUCUAGCGAGACUGCCGGUGACAAAUCGGAGGAAGGUGGGGACGACGUCAAAUCAUCAUGCCCCUUAUGUCCUGGGCUACACACGUACUACAAUGGCUAUUACAGAGGGAAGCUAAGCCGCAAGGUGAGCAAAUCCCCAAAAAUGUCCCAGUUCAGAUUGUGGCUGAAACUGCCCA
rnacentral:rRNA from 1 species